rnacentral:tRNA from 1 species
UCCCUGGUGGCUCAGACGGUAAAGCGUCUGCCUGCAAUGCGGGAGACCUGGGUUCAAUUCCUGGGUCGGGAA